GCCCGGGUGGCUCAGUCGGUUGAGCAUCUGACUUCAGCUCAUGGUUCGUGGGUUUGAGUCCCCUGUCAGGCU
rnacentral:tRNA from 1 species